AAUUUAUUCACAGGCUUAAAAAUGACACACAGUAAGCCUAUGUAAUUGGUUUUAAUGUAUGGUAUCAACUUUUUGAAAGCUGCUGUUGUCUGAGCUCUGAUGGCAUGUAUAAAAUAUAUUUUUUCAAGUUUUUUUUCUUUUUUACUGAGAAGUAGCAAAACAUUUUUAGUCUAAAAUUAAUUUUGACUGGUUCCCAUCUGCCAGAGGUAUGAGAAUCAACAUGUUCUUUUGCUCUACCACAAUGCUCCAUCACGCCUGUAUCCAGUUAGACCCAUCUGUUCCUGUUAGUUAAAAGAUUUCAUAGCUAUGAGAAGUUACUGUGUCUCGUCUCUGCAACUGUCUUCUUAUGAGCAAAUAUUUGAAGAGAAUCUUAACUUGAGAUUAGAAGAGCAGGGCCGUCCUGCAAAAGACACAAAAUUGCCAGUUUCCCGGUAAAUAAGGAAUGAUUUCUGGAAGUCUCCCGGGAGAGAGACGCGAAUAACUGUAUGAUGAGAAGAAACGGGAAGAUAAGCUGUGAUUCUGUUCAUCCAGAGCAUUUUAGUACCUUC